UUCCAGAUGAUCCUGUCUCCAAGGGGCCUACUAGUGCCUCUCCAAAUCGCCAGAAACAUAGCAAUUUGGGAUAAAUCUGGCAUGCCCACAGUCUGUAUGGGUGAGAGCGUGUCUUCUUUUGACCUUUGACUGCCAACAUAU